CAGAAAUUAAGAGUCGGAAAGAGUCAAGUCCGCCGCGCUGGGCUGCUCCGGGGUGCUUACCCGAUGGUUCCAGGCGCCCUGCCGGUGCGCCUGCAGCGUAGUAGGUGCGCGGUGAACCGCAGCCCAGGAGCUACGUGGCCAGUGAGGAACGCCAAACGCGAGGGAAACGCAGAGUCGAGCUCCAGCCGCGUCCAAGGGAGAAAGGGGCGGUUCCGACUCUGCGACCAUCCUCGAGCAAGUUCAAGGACUCCCACCCCCGCCCCCAAGCCCCUCCGCAGAGGCAGACCGGUCGUGCCCAGAGGCCCUCGCUCAGGACUCGCACGGCUCGCUAGGAACUCUGGAAGGAGACAGACCCACAUGGCUACCAUCUGGCAACACAGAGCAGCUGCUGCCAAAGAGGAGUGGAACCAUGUCAGAUUUAAGAUUCUAUAUGGUAGAUGCUGUCCUGAAAGCUCAAGGUGAAUUACUCCAUGAGUAGACAAAGAGAAGAACAUCAAGACCUUCUUGUGGCUACUGAAUAUCUGAGUUUACAGUCCCACUUUCUUCUCUAAGAAGUCUUUCCUUUUCAGAUGAGUGAUAUCUGGAAUGACCUGUCUCACAAGAUAGAAGAGAACUGUAGAAUAGAUGUCAAGAGAAAGAACCCAAGAGUCUGACUCUACCACAUCUUAACUUAAAAUUUCCAUGCUUCAAUUGUCUCAUGUAUAAAAUGAUAACAGUAGUAACUACCUCAUAGGAUAUUGUGCGUAGCACAUGAGUGAAAGCUUAUAAAAUACUUAGAACAGGAUAUGACAUAGAGUGUGUACUCUAGAUGUCAGAAUUAUUUAGUUUAGCCUAAACCUUGCAGCGCUCAAGAAUAUCCUCAUCAGACUACAAUACAGAUUUCAAAAUUCAUACAAGAGAGACACAUCUUGAGGAGCUAGGGAAUCAGUUUUAUCUGGUUGUAAAUAUUUUAUUAGCAUGACUAUCAAUUGGUUAAUUGAUGCACUUUAUAUUUUCAUUUGUAUAUUUUAUAAUUAUAAAAGUAAUAUAUUCUAACACUGGGAGCCUAUAAAAUAUAAAAAAUAAACAUUAAAGGGAGA
rnacentral:lncRNA from 1 species